ACUCCGAAAAUUUUACUUUCACCGAGCUCGGUCCAAAACAAUGGUGUACGGCAUUUUCGACCGUACAAAGCCUCAUAAGGUGCCAUCUUGGUCCCUAAGGGCACAUGUCGUAGGUGCAGCGACCGCAACAGACAAGUCACGGGUGCCUCCUUAGAGCGUAGUUCCCACCGAGCGGUAGGUAGAAUCCUUUGCAGAUGACUUAAAUACGCGACGGAGUAUUGUAAGUGGCAGAGUGGCCUUGCUGCCACGAUCCACUGAGAUUCAGCCCUUGUCACUUCGAUUCGU
rnacentral:ncRNA from 1 species